UAGGGAAUCUUCGGCAAUGGGGGCAACCCUGACCGAGCAACGCCGCGUGAGUGAAGAAGGUUUUCGGAUCGUAAAGCUCUGUUGUAAGAGAAGAACGUGUGUGAGAGUGGAAAGUUCACACAGUGACGGUAACUUACCAGAAAGGGACGGCUAACUACGUGCCAGCAGCCGCGGUAAUACGUAGGUCCCGAGCGUUGUCCGGAUUUAUUGGGCGUAAAGCGAGCGCAGGCGGUUUAAUAAGUCUGAAGUUAAAGGCAGUGGCUUAACCAUUGUUCGCUUUGGAAACUGUUAAACUUGAGUGCAGAAGGGGAGAGUGGAACUCCAUGUGUAGCGGUGAAAUGCGUAGAUAUAUGGAGGAACACCGGUGGCGAAAGCGGCUCUCUGGUCUGUAACUGACGCUGAGGCUCGAAAGCGUGGGGAGCAAACAGG
rnacentral:rRNA from 1 species